AGAGGGAUAGCUGGGUCAAAUGGUGAUUCCAUUUACAGAUUUCCAAGGAAUCUCCAUACUGCUUUUUAGAUUGGCUGCACCAAUUUGCAGUCCCACCAGCCCU
rnacentral:pre_miRNA from 1 species